ensembl:lncRNA
GAUCUUGUGGAGGUUUGUUCGUGAGCAGAGGUCGUGCCAGCAGCUCCUCUAGGAACUGUGGGUGUGCUUUUCAUGGGCCACGAGAGGAGGUGAAGCAACCUGCUUUGAAGAGUGGAAAGGAGCGCUUUGCCUAGUUUGGAAGACUGGUGACAUGAAAGGUAGAUACUUCUGGGCUGUCAGAGGAAUGAAGCUCAGUUAUUUCAGAGCGUGCGCCCUCAGUGAACAGAUGUGACUUGGAGAGCACGGUCAGGUUCCACCCAGGGACAGCUUACUCAGCACUUCUCCUUGGCACUGGAAGGAAUGUGCCUUGAAUUUGGAGCACAGGUAGUGAGGUCUGCACUGCCCUUUCAGGCCUGCAGGAGUCACUGACGGGAACACCACAGUGCUGACCCACUGGAAUCUCCUUAAAGACCAUCUCAAAGUUGUACAGUACUUAAUGAGAUAAUUCCUGUUAAAUGUGUUGAAAAAGUCAUUUAUUCAAAGCAUUUCAUGGGGUGUUCUGUUUGCUUUGAUUUGGAGAUUCUUUUUCAUAGUUGCAUUAGCAGUUCCUAGGGCUAAACUGAAAACUUUUGUAUCCAGAAAUGACUCUGUUGAAGCAUCACCUGAGUCCUAUAAAACAGAGGAAUUUUAAUUUAGGAAAUGUCAACCAGAGCUCCCUUCCUAAAGGCCAGCAGUAGCAACUAAGCCUUUGAUUUACUAACAAAAUAUUUUUUGAUAGUCUCAGUGAAGGGCACAAGAAUGAAAUAAUAGGAACAAAAUCUGACGGGAACGAGUACGGUUUGCUAUUACCAUUCUUUAUCUGGUUUAGAUAGAGUCCAAAAAGACCAAUUAAAAUGAGACCCCUCUUGUAUUAGGUUUUAUAUAUCCCUGUGAUAAAUGAAUUGUAUGAUACAGGCAGAGAGGCUCAAUACCGAGCAACACUGAGAUGCAAGAAUUGUGUGUCCUCCUUUACGAUAUACAUGGCUAAGCAGUGGAGUGCUGAGUUCUGCUGUUGUGUUCACAUUUGGGCAUUAGAGAAGUACAUGUGUAUCUGCACUGAGGUUUCUUGGUACAUUAUAAACAGAUAACAGCUGUAAUUAGACUAAGUUUAUGUACAGAGUUUUUAACUUUUCAAAACAAACUUAUGCUGGAGUUACUCACAUUAAGUAUGCUUUAAAUUGAACAAUGAAAGAGAAAAGAAAUCGUCUGUAUCACUUUUAAUUAUCUGAAAAGAAGGCGUCUGCAAAAUAUGGUCAAGAAUACAAAAAGAGAAUAUCAUUUUAAGGUGAGAUUCAGAUUGGGUCUCAUGUCUUGUCCACAUCUAAAACAAGAAAGAAUGGAAGUUUUAGCAAAUUUAUAUAAUCUUGCCUGUGCAACUCUGAUGCUACAGCUGUAACAAUGAGAUCAUUUCCUUUUAGUCAUCUGGCAGAAGCAGAAAGGAUGUGUAUCCUUCAAGAAAGAGUCUCACAUAAUUCUUUGUAAUCUGUGGGAAUGCAGCAUUGCCCAUGCAAUCAGUGUGGAUAUCUGAAAGCCAAGAAAGGAGCACAGUCUGAUCUAAAGAUGUGUCGUAGAAUGGAUCCUACAAAGGUCAGGAAGUUUUGUAUUGAUAUAAUAUGUUCUGUUUAUAAUUUUACCACUUUUUUAAUGUUAGAAAAGUUAAGAAUAAAGAAUAUGCCCAUGUUUUAUUCUAACUGCUUCACCUUAAAACUGAAUCUGUAUGAAAAGCCCAUCUUCUUACAAAAUGUGUAACUAAAAAUUAGCAAUCCAGAGUAUAUAGAUGUCUGUAUACAUCUUUCAUUAUUUCAUCAUUAAGAAGCCAUCUAAAACUAAUAAAGACAUAUAAUAU